rnacentral:rRNA from 1 species
AUUGAACGCUGGCGGCAUGCCUUACACAUGCAAGUCGGACGGCAGCACGGGGGCAACCCUGGUGGCGAGUGGCGAACGGGUGAGUAAUACAUCGGAACGUGCCCCGUAGCGGGGGACAACCAGUCGAAAGACUGGCUAAUACCGCAUACGCUCCACGGAGGAAAGCAGGGGAUCGCAAGACCUUGCACUAUGGGAGCGGCCGAUGCCCGAUUAG